UCAGCUUUGAAAGCGAAAUAAAUACAAACAACAGCGGCAGCAGACAGAUGCCAACAUCGAGUUUCAUCUUGUUAUUGGCACACAAAUAGCAAAUCGUGACAUCUGACAUAUUUCUCUCAACGAAUUUGUGUCGAGCAGUAGCCCGCCAAUUUCUAGUAUGGUAGUGUUUGCUUGUCAUUUCACAUUUUUAUUGGAACGAGUAGCGAACUUGGCGCCAGAUUGUUUCAAUCUCUCAAUAUGUCGUCCCUGCUGGACCCCUUGCGAGCUGCUUUCUGUGCAUUUGCUUAGUCAGCUCCAAAUAAGAACAUAUUCAUGUGGAAUAUAUAGCAAUUCGAGGUCCAAAUAAUGAAGGUCAGGAUUCAAUUAACAUGCUGUUCGUCUUUAUCGAUAUCCAUAUUUGGAAAUUGGGUCAUUUAUUUGUAAUUUAAAACCAAAACUGUUAUUCCACAGAUGCAAACAAAUAGUUCAUGCACAUUUUAAGAUCAAGCUACAUUAACGUGCAACUGAAAUAAUGUGUAAAUGUAAAUAUUGAAAGAGCAUAAGAAAACCAACAUUAAAAAUCUCCUUAAAACAUAAUAAUAAAAGCAAACAAACAACAAAUUGGAUGUGUAAGUACACUCAGUACACAUAUCGAUUUUGCAGGAUGACUCAAACUGAACUAAACCCAAUCAAGCAACCUGUUAAAGCCCACCUUCCAUGAUUUCGAAGUCAAGAAGGAAACAAAUAAUAAACAAAUAAAGUAUAAAAAUCAUGAAUUGUGCAAACAGCAAAAACAAUCAUAUAAAUGUAUUCCACAUACAUGUGU